rnacentral:rRNA from 1 species
UAGGGAAUUUUCGUCAAUGGGGGAAGCCCUGAACGAGCAAUGCCGCGUGUGUGAAGAAGGUCUUCGGAUCGUAAAGCACUGUUGUAAGUGAAGAAUGCCACAUAGAGGAAAUGCUAUGUGGGUGACGGUAGCUUACCAGAAAGCCACGGCUAACUACGUGCCAGCAGCCGCGGUAAUACGUAGGUGGCAAGCGUUAUCCGGAAUCAUUGGGCGUAAAGGGUGCGUAGGUGGCACGAUAAGUCUGAAGUAAAAGGCAACAGCUCAACUGUUGUAUGCUUUGGAAACUGUCGAGCUAGAGUGCAGAAGAGGGCGAUGGAAUUCCAUGUGUAGCGGUAAAAUGCGUAGAUAUAUGGAGGAACACCAGUGGCGAAGGCGGUCGCCUGGUCUGUAACUGACACUGAUGCACGAAAGCGUGGGGAGCAAAUAGGGAUUAGAUACC